ensembl:snoRNA small nucleolar RNA SNORA2/SNORA34 family
CUGGCCCUCAAUCAAGGCUGGCAGGUUCCUGACACUGUUGGUUUUGAGCAGGAGCCUAGAGAGAUGUCUUGCUGUCUGUUGGCCAUUUCAGAACUUGGGCAGUGAAAUGUUCAAUUCAUUAGAAAGAAACAGCU